rnacentral:rRNA from 1 species
GACGAACGCUGGCGGCGUGCUUAACACAUGCAAGUCGAGCGGUAAGGCCCUUUCGGGGGUACACGAGCGGCGAACGGGUGAGUAACACGUGGGCGACCCACCCUCAGCUCUGGGAUAAGCCUGGGAAACUGGGGCUAAUACCGGAUGGUUCCUUCGGGAUAAAGAUUUAUCGCCAAAAGAUGAGUCCGCGUACGAUUAGCUAGUUGGUGAGGUAAUGGCUCACCAAGGCGACGAUCGUUAGCUGGUCUGAGAGGAUGAUCAGCCACACUGGAACUGAGACACGGUCCAGACUCCUACGGGAGGCAGCAGUGGGGAAUAUUGCGCAAUGGGCGGAAGCCUGACGCAGCGACGCCGCGUGGGGGAUGACGGCCUUCGGGUUGUAAACCUCUUUCGACCUUGACGAAGCCUUUGGGUGACGGUAGGGGUAGAAGAAGCACCGGCCAACUACGUGCCAGCAGCCGCGGUAAUACGUAGGGUGCGAGCGUUGUCCGGAAUUAUUGGGCGUAAAGAGCUCGUAGGCGGUUCAGUUAGUCGGGUGUGAAAGCCUUGAGCUCAACUCAAGAAAUGCAUUCGGUACUGGGUGACUAGAGGACCGGAGAGGAUAGUGGAAUUCCCAGU